UACGAAGGGGGCUAGCGUUGCUCGGAAUUACUGGGCGUAAAGCGUGCGCAGACGGUUGCGUAAGUCAGAUGUGAAAGCCCCGGGCUCAACCUGGGAAUUGCAUUUGAGACUGCGUAGCUAGGGUGCGGAAGAGGGAAGCGGAAUUUCCGGUGUAGCGGUGAAAUGCGUAGAUAUCGGAAGGAACACCAGUGGCGAAAGCGGCUUCCUGGUCCAGCACCGACGUCAGGCACGAAAGCGUGGGGAGCAAACAGG
rnacentral:rRNA from 1 species